GACACAUUGGAGCAAAAUGCUUGUUAAGAUUCUUUUCUCCUCUAGACCCUGCAACCAGCAAACAAUCCCUCCUUAUAGGUCUCUCUCAAGAAAAGACUGACCUUAGGAUACAGCAUUUCCUGAUCGGCUGUAUAAUGAUUUCACCUUUGCUCAUCCUAUUCCCCGACACCAGGUUCUCUCAGGCCUUGGUUAUUCCCUUUCACAAAAGAAAAGCCCUUCUUUACCCAACAUUUAAGAGGCUUGCAGAGUCUCCCUGUUUCAACAGUCAUCUGCUCUGUCUCCCUCCCACUAUUGCAAUAAUCCGUUCCUUCCCUCUUGCGAUAAAAUCUCUCUUUACAUAAAUUGAAUUGUUUUUCAUUUGACGAGAGAAAAGUGAAAACUAAAAAGGGAAGUCACGUGGGAACACAAAGCAAUUACUGAAGAUAUUAAGACUCUUUUUGCCAUUGCAAACUGAAGACAAGAAUCACUUCCUGAUCACUGGGUUGUUGUAAGUAUAAAACUGAAGCUCAUGAAGAUGAAACAACCUUACUGAGUGGUCCCAACUAAUGUGAAUAUCUGAC
rnacentral:lncRNA from 10 species